rnacentral:rRNA from 1 species
GACGAACGCUGGCGGCGUGCUUAACACAUGCAAGUCGAACGGAAAGGCCCUGCUUUUGUGGGGUGCUCGAGUGGCGAACGGGUGAGUAACACGUGAGUAACCUGCCCUUGACUUUGGGAUAACUUCAGGAAACUGGGGCUAAUACCGGAUAGGAGCUCCUGCUGCAUGGUGGGGGUUGGAAAGUUUCGGCGGUUGGGGAUGGACUCGCGGCUUAUCAGCUUGUUGGUGGGGUAGUGGCUUACCAAGGCUUUGACGGGUAGCCGGCCUGAGAGGGUGACCGGCCACAUUGGGACUGAGAUACGGCCCAGACUCCUACGGGAGGCAGCAGUGGGGAAUAUUGCGCAAUGGGCGGAAGCCUGAUGCAGCAACGCCGCGUGCGGGAUGACGGCCUUCGGGUUGUAAACCGCUUUCGCCUGUGACGAAGCGUGAGUGACGGUAAUGGGUAAAGAAGCACCGGCUAACUACGUGCCAGCAGCCGCGGUGAUACGUAGGGUGCGAGCGUUGUCCGGAUUUAUUGGGCGUAAAGGGCUCGUAGGUGGUUGAUCGCGUCGGAAGUGUAAUCUUGGGGCUUAACCCUGAGCGUGCUUUCGAUACGGGUUGACUUGAGGAAGGUAGGGGAGAAUGGAAUUCCUGGUGGAGCGGUGGAAUGCGCAGAUAUCAGGAGGAACACCAGUGGCGAAGGCGGUUCUCUGGGCCUUUCCUGACGCUGAGGAGCGAAAGCGUGGGGAGCGAACAGGCUUAGAUACCCUGGUAGUCCACGCUGUAAACGGUGGGUACUAGGUGUGGGGUCCAUUCCACGGGUUCCGUGCCGUAGCUAACGCUUUAAGUACCCCGCCUGGGGAGUACGGCCGCAAGGCUAAAACUCAAAGGAAUUGACGGGGCCCCGCACAAGCGGCGGAGCAUGCGGAUUAAUUCGAUGCAACGCGUAGAACCUUACCUGGGUUUGACAUGGAUCGGGAGCGCUCAGAGAUGGGUGUGCCUCUUUUGGGGUCGGUUCACAGGUGGUGCAUGGCUGUCGUCAGCUCGUGUCGUGAGAUGUUGGGUUAAGUCCCGCAACGAGCGCAACCCUUGUUCACUGUUGCCAGCACGUUAUGGUGGGGACUCAGUGGAGACCGCCGGGGUCAACUCGGAGGAAGGUGGGGAUGACGUCAAGUCAUCAUGCCCCUUAUGUCCAGGGCUUCACGCAUGCUACAAUGGCUGGUACAGAGAGUGGCGAGCCUGUGAGGGUGAGCGAAUCUCGGAAAGCCGGUCUCAGUUCGGAUUGGGGUCUGCAACUCGACCUCAUGAAGUCGGAGCCGCUAGUAAUCGCAGAUCAGCAACGCUGCGGUGAAUACGUUCCCGGG